UGGAUCACCUCCUAACAGGGAGACAAACCAGAUGUUGAUGCUUGAUCCAAUUUGUGAUUAAGCCAAUGUCCUGUCAUCUCGAAGGUCGAUCGGUACCUCAACCUCAGGAUUCAGGAAUGGAACCGUCUUACGGGACGGAACCAGGAGCUGAAGUUUGGAGGAUUCAGUUCCUAAACUCUGUCUAGGUCACCCCACAGCGGGAAGUACUCCUGGGCCAUUAGCUCAGGUGGUUAGAGCGCACCCCUGAUAAGGGUGAGGUCCCUGGUUCAAGUCCAGGAUGGCCCAUUGACCGCCUGCUGAGCAGGCAGGACUUGGCAGCUGGGGGUUUAGCUCAGUUGGUAGAGCGCCUGCUUUGCAAGCAGGAUGUCAGCGGUUCGAGUCCGCUAACCUCCAUCCAACGUAAACACCCAGCAGUGACAAGAAGGAGUCUCUGCGGCGGUGACUAGAUGUGCUGAUUCUAUCGAGAGAUAGGAAAGGAGUUCAGCCUCCAGGCAUUCUGAGGAUCGCAUCAGCGAGCUUAGUUGCAUGGAAGCUGGAUUCAGGCUUGCCGGAGACGGUGAGUUUGAAAACAGCAAGAACCUUGACAACUGCAUAGGAUAAGUCUGGAAAGAAAGCAUCUCAUAGAUGCCUUCUUUCUGAGCCAAGGGAAGGUGACGUAAGUCACCAACUUGAAGGCGAGGGAAGAAGGAAGAUUCUUGAGUUUAGAGCCGAGAAUUGAUGCUUCCGGAAGACAUGACAAGCAUCGCGAGAUGGGAGUCAGGUCUGAGGGUUUGCAUCAAGACAAAUGGUCAAGCUACAAAGGGCUCACGGUGGAUACCUUGGCACACAGAGGCGAUGAAGG
rnacentral:tRNA from 1 species